rnacentral:rRNA from 1 species
UACAGAGGGUGCGAGCGUUAAUCGGAAUUAUUGGGCGUAAAGGGCGCGUAGGUGGAUGGAUGAGUCUGAUGUGAAAGCCCUGGGCUUAACCUAGGAAUAGCAUUAGAUACUGUUUAUCUGGAGUGGAGUAGAGGGCAGCGGAAUUUCCGGUGUAGCGGUGAAAUGCGUAGAUAUCGGAAAGAACACCAGUGGCGAAGGCGGCUGUCUGGGCUCACACUGACACUGAGGCGCGAAAGCGUGGGGAGCGAACAGG